CCUAUACUACCUGUAUUCUUCGGCAGGCCCCGUUGAUGCCUGCGGCCUGCACGUAUUAAUUCAUUACUUUCCCUUUAAGAAAGUAAUGAAUUCUGGGGGAUGAGUGAGGCGACGUGCCUGUGCGCAGUUACGUACUGCAGCGUAGCUCUAUUUGCCCGCCAAAGAAGAGCUGUGUCGCAGUUGGAAAAGAGCCCUUCACCAAGACGGUCGCCUGCAAGGUUUCAGCCAAUCAGAGAGCAGCACUGCUCAAAUAGAACUCCCAGGAGGUAACAGCGUGUCACACAUGUGAUGUCAUAACCAUUGUCCACCAGAGAGCAGCACUGAGCAGAUAUAACACUGCUCCUGCUCAUUCUUCACCAGUGAGGGGCCGGUGCUGGACACUGUAGGGACGCGGGAAUGUGAAGUCAAAAACAUGACUGUGACUGAUGCACUAUUUCCAGCAUGUGGAGUAGCAUUUCCGGACUUACUGCAAGAAGUUGGAUGAUGGCCUAGAUUUCCGGACUUACAGCAAGACGUUGGAUGAAGGCCUAGAUUUCCGGACCUACAGCAAGAAGUUGGAUGAAGGCACAGCCCCUCAAAUCACGCACAUACACAGACACAUUGCCCAAAUUCUAGAGGUAACCUCCUUUAGUAUGCCCAGAGGAAGGGCAAUACAGUAGCCAUGGAUUCCCUACAGGUUUCCUCCCCUCUGGAGGUUUUUCCUGUCCUGAGUUAGUUACUGUACGCUCUUUGUGAGUGAUGGGAGGUUACAAAAAAUCCCCUACACAAACAUUUUAAUAAAUAAUAAAUAAAGUUUCCCUUUUUUUAAACUG